GGGGUUCACAGGUCGCCUCCUUCCUUGCUUCUUCUAGCUCCCAGUCUCUGCUGACAAGCCCUGGGUUUCCUUGGCUUGUGGGCACAUUACGUCAGUCACAUGGUCGCCUUCUCCCUGUGCGUCUUUAUCGUCUUCCCUCUGUGCAUGUCUAUGUGUCCAAAUUUCCCUUUUUGAUAAGGAUAUCAAUUAUAUUGGAUUAGGGGAUCCUGACAAUCUCAUUUUAACUUGAUUACUUUUGUAAAAAUCCUAUCUCCAAAUAGGGUCACAUUCUGGAGUACCAGGGGUUAGGACUUCAGCAUAGCUUUCUUGGGGAGGCACAAUUCAAUUCAUAAAACCAUCUGUGGUGGUUAAUUUUUGUGUCAGGUUGGGCGCAGUAAUUAUAUCUAUAAUCUCAGAACUUUUGGGGGGCCAAGGCUGGAAAAUUGCUUGAUUCCAGGAGUUUGAGACCAGCCUGGGCAAUAUAGCAAGACACUCUCUCUACAAAAGAUAAAAAAUUAGCCAGUCCUGUAGUCUCUCCUCCCAAGGCUGAGGGGAGAGGAUCGCUUGAGCCCUGGAGGAUGAGGCUGCAGUGCAGAGAUGGUGCCACUGUACUCUAGCCUGGGUGAUGGAUCGAGACCUUGUCUCCAAAAAAAAAAAAAAGGAUGUCAACUUAGCUAGGCCAUACUACCCAAAAAUUUAAUCAAACAUUGUUCCAGGUGUUUUGGUGAAGGUAUUUUUUAGAUAAGAUUAACAGUAAACUUGGAGUAAGGCAGAUUAUCCUCUAUAAUGUAGGUGGGCUUCCUCCACUCAGUUGACGGCUUUAAUGGUAAAGACUAAUCUCCCAGAAGGAGAGGAAGUUCUGCCAAUAAACUUACCAUCUUUGAACUCAAACUGAACUGUUCUCUGGGUGUCUAGCCUGCCAGCCUACCCUACAGAUUACAUAUAUACAUCCUGUUGGUGCUGUUUCUCUGGAGAGCCCUGGAAUUGUAAUUCUUUUUAAGGCAGAGUCUUGCUCUUGUCACCUAGGCUGGAGUGCAAUGGUGUGAUCUCGUCUCACUGCAACUUCUACCUCCUGGAUUCAGGCAAUUCUCCUGCCUCAGCCUCCAAGUAGCUGAGAUGACAGGUGCCCGCCACCAGGUCCCUGGCUAGUUUUUGGAUUUUUAGUAGAGACUAGGUUUCACCAUGUUGGCCAAGCUGGGUCUCAAACUCCUGACCUCAGGUGAUCUUCAUGCCUCAGUCCUCCAAAGUGCUGGGAUUACAGGCCUGAGCCACGGCCCUGCCAUGCUGGCAUUAUAAUACACCAUUCAUUGGUCCCAGUCACCACCUGCCCUUAGGCCUCAGGGUCUUGGCCGUGGUGCCAGAGCUGUGGUAAUUUCUCACCUAGACAGAGAAUACCUGGGGCUGCCUUUCCACCCACCUCACUGUAAACAAACUAUCAGUCAACCACUGAAGAAGCAUUUCAGAGCCUUCAAUUUUUGAUUAGUCCCUUGGCAAAGUUCGGUCUCAGUGUGAAUUGCUUUGAGAAAUGAUCGGGGAAUAAAUGAGAAUUUCUUAGCUUCACAAGUUACCACAGUCCUGGAGGCUGGUGUUGCGUAGGAGUUAGAGGAGUCAUUCCUCUAAAGUACUGCGCAAAAUUCUAAAGUGUCUAUCACAUUGUUCAUGUGUGGUUACCAAUUGCUGUGUAACGAGCUGCUCCAAAAUUGAGUGACUUUAAAUUAUAAUUUUUUUAUUUGUUCACAAAUCUGAGGGUCAGCAAUUUAUAUUGGGCUCAACGGGGUGGUUCUUCUGCUUGGUCUCUUUUGGAGUCGCUUUUGCAGCUACUGUCACCUAGUAGUGUAACGAACCAUGGUUCAUGAUGGCCAAAGUGUCUGGCAGUUGGUACUGGCUAUUGGCUGGGUACCUGUCUCCAUGCAAGUUUUCAUCUUCCAGAUGAGAAACCCUGGCUUCCUUACCUGGUGGCCCCCUGUUCUAAGAUAAUAGGAGUGAAAGCUGCAAGGUAUCUUAAGGACUAGGCUUGGAAAGUUGCCAAAAUACCACUUCCGUUAUAUUCUUUUGCUUAGAGCAAGUUGCAAAGCCUUCCUAAAUUCAAAGCAAGGAGAAACAGAUUCCAUCACUUGAUGGGAAGCAGUACAGAGUCCUGUUGCAAAGAGACAUUCAUACCUGAGGCGAGAAUUUACUAUAUCCAACUUUGUAAGCAGUCUACCACGUCCACUAAGCAAAUGAAACUGGCAAAUGCAGUGGUUGACUUAUGUCUGGCUAAGUCACGGAAGGUGAUGAACACAAUCGUGAUGAGAUCCAGAGGUCAGAGGGGGACCCUGGACGCGUGAGGACAUUGUUGUUUAUUAUACCAUUUGACUGAGAACUGGGCAGGGAAGGCUUGUUGGACUCUGCCUGAUUCGAAGUGUAGUCUAUAAAUUUUUUCCUGUGAGUUAGAUAUUUGCUUCAGUUCUGCUACAGCACAGCCGGAGGCAUCUGGUAGGGCCGGCUAACUUAUGUUCUUAGAUUUUCUUUGGCAGAAAUUAAUUUUUUUUUUUUAGAAUUUUUUUUUCUCUCCAAGGCUCAGUCUUUGGGUUAAUAUCGCAGAUCCACAAUUCAUAAAUUUGUUCCUCUUGGUUCAUUGUUUCAGAAUGAAAUUUUUAAUAGAUUCCAAAGCCUUCAUAAGAGUGCUGCCUAGUUACAUAACGAAGUUACUCUGCACGUGGUUGACAGGUAGUAAUUUAUUAUUAUCUUUGUCCUUGAUAAGAGUUAUGCCUUGAACAGCAGGUGCCUAAUAAAUGUUAGCUAUAACAACAUAAGCAACAGAAGAAAGUUUGUCCCUUUGUAUCUCAAUCAGCCAUUCACAAUGCAUACUCUUCUGUUGUCACUGUGCCUGUUUUCUGUUAAUUUUAUCAAUUAUAUGUAGAGGGAAACUAUAGCUGUGUGACGUUAUUAUUGUUAGUUAAAUGUUCUAAUUUAUCCUGCCACUGUACUUCGUUUAGCAUAACAAAGUCACAAUAUUUUUCUGUCCCUGCGGUGAAAGACUGUAGUAAGCUGAUCUUGCUAACAAGAGAAAAUUAUUAGCUUUCUUAAGAAUAUAACCCUAUAUACAUUACUAAGCAUUCCAGGAGGAUUAAUAGUUCUACGAAUUUUGGACAGGCCGAGGUAGCGGCAACGUGAGAUAGGGCUGUUUUAAUAUUUGUCCUUGGCCCAUUUGCAUAUCUAUCACUGGUAAUUCGUUAAUGCUGCUUGUGUUUUAGUCUGUGGUCAUGCCGAGAAUUAAUGCACUCUGCUGGCUGAUACGCCCGAUGCCAGAGCGAGAACUAGGCAAGUCUGAUCGAACAUUCCAUGAUUCCGGCAAUCAUGAGGCUUGCGUUCAAGGGCGACUUGUUUGCAGGGUGAUGCUUUUCUGAAAAGUUAGCAGUGAAAUGGCAGAUUUCAAGCACCGUUCACUGACAUUCAAGGCUUUCUUUCUCCUAUAAGAGCUAUUCUGGCACUUGAAAUUGCAGAGGUUUUGUUUGUUUGUUUGUUUUGUUGUGGUCAUUGGGAACAGGCAGAGAGAAGGCAAGGGUAUUUAACAUUCGACAGAGAAUUGCUGAAAGUCAGAGGUCGGUCAGUGGGGGCUGCGAAGGCUUUGAUCGCCAAACUAAGUGUCUAAAAGAAAAGAGAACAAGCUGGGGCGGUGGCUCAUGCCUGUAAUCCCAGCACUUUGGGAGGCAAAGGUGGGCGAAUCAGGAGGUCGAGACCAUAGACCAUCCUGGCCAACACGGCUAAACCCUGUCUCUACUAAAAUACAAAAUUAGGUGCAAACCUGUAGUCCUAGCUACUCAGGAGGCUGAGGCAGGAGAAUCGCGUUGAACCCAGGAGGCAGAGGUUGCAGUGAGCCACCAAGUCCAGCCUGGCGACAGAGCAAGACUCCAUCUCAAAAAAAAAAAAAAAAAAAAAAAAAAAAGAAAAAAGAAUGAGAACCUGAAACAUCAGAAACGAUCUGUACGUCGGUUGCACUGGACACCCUAACCAACCUGCAUAUUUGUAUAUGUUAAAACACGUGAUUAUUUUAAUACACUCCCUAUGAAUUCUGCUACUUAGGAGAACUUUGGAUAAAUCACAAGAAGGCACAUAUUGAUAUAACAUUAACUUGACGUUGGCAUUUGGCUGUUAUUAUUAAACAUGUAUGAAGUAUCUAAUUCAAUCAUUCAUCAGUUCAAUUUUGUCAAUCCACAAAUAAUUACUGAAGGUCUCAUAUGUGCCAGAUGCAUGAUAGGUUUCUGGAAUUCCAGAGGAGUUUGCAGUCUAGAGGAGAAGAAAGAAAAGCAAGCUGGCAGUCUCAGUGCGAUAGUAUGUAUGAUAGGGGGUCUGGAUAGGUGACCCUGGAGGAAGUGACCUCUCUGGGAGGUGCAGGUGUAGGUGGAAGGAGAGCCAGGUCUUUCGGGAUUAAGGCCCAGGCUCCGGAGUUUGGACAAUGGAAGGCAUUGAAGGCUUAAGAAAGGAAGUGGCAUGAUCAGGCUGCAGUUUGAACAGACUAUUCUGCUUGCAGUGGGGAGGAUGGCUUAACAAGGCGGCUUAGAUUGCGUUGCCAAGACGCUGAGCCAGAAACGGGCUUCUUGGGCAAGCAAUUUCUUGAGGGAGUGCUUUCAAGUGAAACCUGUAAGGGUGUGAGGGAAACGCAAAUAGGACAGGCUCAGAGGAGGUCUGGCCUCAGGCUGAUCCUGUGGGAAGUCUGGGGCAUGUGUGGGGACACAGAUUGCCCUCUUGAGCGAGGCAAGAGGACCAGCCUUUGUGCCUGCUUAUCAGGCAGAUGUGGCUGUGGGCUGGCCCCAGCUGGAAGUCAGACCCCCCCUCCCCCCACCGGACUUUUCCAGACUGAGAAAGUACUACUAAUGAAGAAAAGCUCUGAUAAGCACCAGUAAUGUACAAACACCACACUAAGCAGAAGACGUGGUUCCUGACCUCUUGGAGUGUGGGUUCUAAAGGACACCCAGACAGACAAGCAUAAAUUGUAUAUAUUUCUUUCCUUUUCUGGUGAGGAGUGGGUAGCAUCAGGGAAGAGUUGCAUUCAAAUUGAUUAUGAACCACAGGUCUAAAUUUCAAUUCUGGCCUGAAUAGCAAUUUUUCCUGAAGGUUUGAAUAAAUCAUCCAGUCUGCUUUGGUUUCAA